rnacentral:rRNA from 1 species
AUUGAACGCUGGCGGCAGGCCUAACACAUGCAAGUCGAGCGGUAGCACAGAGAGCUUGCUCUCGGGUGACGAGCGGCGGACGGGUGAGUAAUGUCUGGGAAACUGCCUGAUGGAGGGGGAUAACUACUGGAAACGGUAGCUAAUACCGCAUAAUGUCGCAAGACCAAAGUGGGGGACCUUCGGGCCUCAUGCCAUCAGAUGUGCCCAGAUGGGAUUAGCUAGUAGGUGGGGUAACGGCUCACCUAGGCGACGAUCCCUAGCUGGUCUGAGAGGAUGACCAGCCACACUGGAACUGAGACACGGUCCAGACUCCUACGGGAGGCAGCAGUGGGGAAUAUUGCACAAUGGGCGCAAGCCUGAUGCAGCCAUGCCGCGUGUAUGAAGAAGGCCUUCGGGUUGUAAAGUACUUUCAGCGGGGAGGAAGGCGAUAAGGUUAAUAACCUUGUCGAUUGACGUUACCCGCAGAAGAAGCACCGGCUAACUCCGUGCCAGCAGCCGCGGUAAUACGGAGGGUGCAAGCGUUAAUCGGAAUUACUGGGCGUAAAGCGCACGCAGGCGGUCUGUCAAGUCGGAUGUGAAAUCCCCGGGCUCAACCUGGGAACUGCAUUCGAAACUGGCAGGCUAGAGUCUUGUAGAGGGGGGUAGAAUUCCAGGUGUAGCGGUGAAAUGCGUAGAGAUCUGGAGGAAUACCGGUGGCGAAGGCGGCCCCCUGGACAAAGACUGACGCUCAGGUGCGAAAGCGUGGGGAGCAAACAGGAUUAGAUACCCUGGUAGUCCACGCCGUAAACGAUGUCGAUUUGGAGGUUGUGCCCUUGAGGCGUGGCUUCCGGAGCUAACGCGUUAAAUCGACCGCCUGGGGAGUACGGCCGCAAGGUUAAAACUCAAAUGAAUUGACGGGGGCCCGCACAAGCGGUGGAGCAUGUGGUUUAAUUCGAUGCAACGCGAAGAACCUUACCUGGUCUUGACAUCCACAGAACUUAGCAGAGAUGCUUUGGUGCCUUCGGGAACUGUGAGACAGGUGCUGCAUGGCUGUCGUCAGCUCGUGUUGUGAAAUGUUGGGUUAAGUCCCGCAACGAGCGCAACCCUUAUCCUUUGUUGCCAGCGGUUCGGCCGGGAACUCAAAGGAGACUGCCAGUGAUAAACUGGAGGAAGGUGGGGAUGACGUCAAGUCAUCAUGGCCCUUACGACCAGGGCUACACACGUGCUACAAUGGCAUAUACAAAGAGAAGCGACCUCGCGAGAGCAAGCGGACCUCAUAAAGUAUGUCGUAGUCCGGAUUGGAGUCUGCAACUCGACUCCAUGAAGUCGGAAUCGCUAGUAAUCGUAGAUCAGAAUGCUACGGUGAAUACGUUCCCGGGCCU